rnacentral:rRNA from 1 species
GACGAACGCUGGCGGCGUGCCUAAUACAUGCAAGUUGAGCGCUGAAGGUUGGUACUUGUACCGACUGGAUGAGCAGCGAACGGGUGAGUAACGCGUGGGGAAUCUGCCUUUGAGCGGGGGACAACAUUUGGAAACGAAUGCUAAUACCGCAUAAAAACUUUAAACACAAGUUUUAAGUUUGAAAGAUGCAAUUGCAUCACUCAAAGAUGAUCCCGCGUUGUAUUAGCUAGUUGGUGAGGUAAAGGCUCACCAAGGGGAUGAUACAUAGCCGACCUGAGAGGGGGAUCGGCCACAUUGGGACUGAGACACGGCCCAAACUCCUACGGGAGGCAGCAGUAGGGAAUCUUCGGCAAUGGACGAAAGUCUGACCGAGCAACGCCGCGUGAGUGAAGAAGGUUUUCGGAUCGUAAAACUCUGUUGGUAGAGAAGAACGUUGGUGAGAGUGGAAAGCUCAUCAAGUGACGGUAACUACCCAGAAAGGGACGGCUAACUACGUGCCAGCCGCCGCAGUAA